rnacentral:tRNA from 1 species
GCCGUGGUAGCUCAAUUGGGAGAGCAUUCGGCUGAAGACCGAAAGGUUGGUGGUUCAAAUCCGCCCCACGGCA